GAUGAAGAACGCAGCGAAAUGCGAUAAGUAGUGUGAAUUGCAGAAUUCAGUGAAUCAUCGAAUCUUUGAACGCACAUUGCGCCCCCUGGUAUUCCGGGGGGCAUGCCUGUUCGAGCGUCAUUUCACCACUCAAGCCUCGCUUGGUAUUGGGCAACGCGGUCCGCCGCGUGCCUCAAAUCGACCGGCUGGGUCUUCUGUCCCCUAAGCGUUGUGGAAACUAUUCGCUAAAGGGUGUUCGGGAGGCUACGCCGUAAAACAACCCCAUGUCUAAGGUUGACCUCGGAUCAGGUAGGGAUACCCGCUGAACUUAAGCAUAUCAAUAAGCGGAGGA
rnacentral:misc_RNA from 1 species